ensembl:snRNA U6 U6 spliceosomal RNA
GUGCUUGCUUUGGCAGCACAUAUGCUAAAAUUGGAACGAUACAGAGAAGAUUAGCAUGGCCCCUGUACAAGGAUGACACACAAAUUUGUGAAGCGUUCCAUAUUUUU